UAUAAUUUUUUUUAAAAAAAAAACCCUCAUAGCCUCACAACUCUUUGCCUCCCUCAAUCCCUCGUAUUUCUCGGUUUCUCCAUCAAGCUUGAUGGAGCUUCUCGCUCUCGGUGCUCCACCGCUACCCCCUGCUCGCUUCCGGUGCGACAGUGUAGCCCCCACCCACUGCAGGCUACCCCCAUCGCAACCCGUGCUCCUACCCGAAGACGUAUGCAACACUCCGUGCACCUAGUUGAAGAGACACCGAUGAUUGCCACCUCCAAAGACAACAAUUGCCACCUCCUUGCUUCAAUCUUCGACGGCUUCCACCUUAAAGUUUAAGUUAGGGUUAGUUUCGUUCCCUCUCCCUUCCAUUAUCAACAAGAAUUUGAGUUAGCUAAAGUUAGGGUUUCAAUUCCCUAUUAACAUGUUUAAUUUCACUAUUAUCAUACUGAUGCAUGUAUCUGAAUUGGUCGAAGUAUUUUGAUGAGUUUGGGAUUUUUGUUUUUUCAUCUCUUCAAUUAUUUCUGAUUUGAUUUACCUUUUAAUUUGAUCUUUGUUGACUAAUCUGACCAAUUGUAAUAUAAUUAUUUUCUUUUCUGAAUGGAUUCCUCGUAAGCUUGUCGAGAAUUUAAGUAAUUGUGGGCAAAAGAGAUGUACAAAUACAAGGCAAUGCCAGUUAUAAUCGGAGGAAUUGUGUAUUUGUGUGUGAUAUUCAAGCUACUGCUACUAUUCCUGCUACGGCCAAAACCACCACUCCUGGCAAGGAUGCAGUUGUAUGCAUGCGAGCACUCGACGAAAGGAGGAUACACUAAGCAAGGCAUCUACAAGAAAUCCAAGAAGAGAUGGGUUAAUUAUGCCAGGAGUAUCAGACAUAUAAGCUGAAGCAUGGGGGAAGCCAAUUUGAGAAUUACUUUUUGGGCACCGUGUCACUCAUAUAAUUUGCAAUAUUUCAUUGGUGGACUACAUAUUGUGAAGCCCAUUUGGAUGGUGGAUUGUGUGGCAGGUGGGAAAUUGUUGAGUUGAGUAAUGGAACUAAUAAGGUCAAUUACAUGCUUUGCUAUAGAAGGAAGAGUGUAGAUGAAAGAUCAAAACUGUCAUAAUGAAAGAACAACAAUGGCAUCAGACUAUUCGGCGAAUGCAGAUGCAGCUGAAGACGGAGGACAAGAUGGAAAAGAAAGUGAAGAGCGCGCAACAAGAAGUCAUGAUCAAGGAAAGAGUGGGAGUUUGGUGUUUUGUGCGGGUGGAAGUGUGGAACUUAGUUAUUUUCCUUGGAACUAAAUGAUAAGAGGUUCAGCUGAAUUGUUAGGAAGAGGGACUAUUAGUAUUACAUAUAAAGUAGUACAUGAUAAUCUUUUAGUUUAGAUUAUUAGAUUGUUUAGCCAAACAAAAAAAAAUUGUGGUAAUCGAUUUUUAUUAAAGAAAAUAUGAAAUUAUAUCAAUUUAAAUUAUCGUCUAUCGUAUAUGUUAAUUUC